AUUGAACGCUGGCGGCAGGCCUAACACAUGCAAGUCGAGCGAGACCUUCGGGGUCUAGCGGCGGACGGGUGAGUAACGCGUGGGAACGUGCCCUUCUCUACGGAAUAGUCCCGGGAAACUGGGUUUAAUACCGUAUACGCCCUUCGGGGGAAAGAUUUAUCGGAGAAGGAUCGGCCCGCGUUAGAUUAGAUAGUUGGUGGGGUAACGGCCUACCAAGUCUACGAUCUAUAGCUGGUUUUAGAGGAUGAUCAGCAACACUGGGACUGAGACACGGCCCAGACUCCUACGGGAGGCAGCAGUGGGGAAUCUUAGACAAUGGGCGCAAGCCUGAUCUAGCCAUGCCGCGUGAGUGAUGAAGGCCUUAGGGUCGUAAAGCUCUUUCGCCUGUGAUGAUAAUGACAGUAGCAGGUAAAGAAACCCCGGCUAACUUCGUG
rnacentral:rRNA from 1 species